GGGAUCGUGGCUUAACGGGAGAGCACUCGGCUGGCGUCCGGGCGGUCCGGGUUCGAUUCCCGGCGAUUCCA
rnacentral:tRNA from 3 species